rnacentral:lncRNA from 1 species
UCAAAAACAAGAAAGCUCAUGAGAGUCAAACCAAUCUUGGAAAAACUCCGUGGCAAAAGAAGAACCACCAAUGAUCCCAAUUCAGUACCAUAGAGGGGAUACCAAUUGAAGAAUCAAAAAAUUUCAUCACUUGAUACCAAUUGAAGAAGAUGGAAUCCAAUUGAGAGAUCAAAUGUGAUACCAAUUAAAAGAUCAAAAGCGGAUAUCCAAAACCAAAGCAAGUCUUAGUCCAAACUCCCCC